rnacentral:rRNA from 1 species
GAGACUCUGUGCGCGUGCAUAUCAAUAAGCGGAGGAAAAGAAACUAACAAGGAUUCCCUUAGUAACGGCGAGUGAAGCGGGAAGAGCUCAAAUUUGAAAUCUUCAAGGUUUUACCUUGACGAAUUGUAGUUUAAAGAAGUGUUUUCUGUUGAAGUUUUGGUAAAAGUUCUUUGGAAUAGGACAUCAUAGAGGGUGAGAAUCCCGUAUUUGACCAUUAUUUUCAGCUGUGUGAUACACUUUCAAAGAGUCGGAUUGUUUGGGAAUGCAGUCCAAAAUGGGUGGUAAAUUUCAUCUAAAGCUAAAUAUUGGCGAGAGACCGAUAGCGAACAAGUACCGUGAGGGAAAGAUGAAAAGAACUUUGAAAAGAGAGUUAAACAGUACGUGAAAUUGUCAAAAGGGAAGCGUUUGACACCAGUGUUGUUUUCUCGAAAAUCAAUUAAAAAAAGUUGGAUUUUGUGUUGUAUUGACCUUAACAGCUUGCUUCACUCUUUUCCUGCUUUUUUUAAUGCACUUUUCGUUUAACAAGUCAACAUCAGUUUCUUUUGUUGUAAAAGGGUCAUUGGAAGGUGGCUUUCUCUUCGGAGAAAGUGUUUAUAGCCUUUGAUCUCUGCAAUCGGAGAGACUGAGGUCUGCAGCGUAGAUCCUUCGGGGUUAGAUACAUUUGUGCUAAGCUACAGCUUUUCAUAGACAACUUGUUGACUAUGUUUAGUCUUGUGACUUACCCGCUUAUGCUAUUUUACCUACGCUUAGGAUGUUGACUGAUAUGUAGUCGUA